AAUAAAUUAUGACAAUAUUAAAAUUAUUUUCUGGCAGCCCAGUUAACUGCGCUGGGGACCCUAAAGCCCUUACUGAUUCCAUUUAUGCCUUGUAAUUACGGUCCACGGGCUCUCUCUAAACCCUUUGGUGUAUAUUGUGUGUAAACUUUUAGCUAAUAGACCUUUUUUGAAUGGAGGGACUUUUCUCGGUACUUCCUGCAGUAUAUAUUCUGUCUCUGAUCUCUGUAUUUAAUGGCCAAGUCCUGGUUUAUGCUUUAUAAUGUGUUGACAAGUUUUCUAACAGACUUUCUGAAAUAAUGCACAUAUAUUCACGUCGGUUAGAAACUCCACAGUAUUUUUAGAGUCGAGUAGAUCUAUAUCCUAAUGCACUGAGAGGGAGUGUAAAUCAUAGAGGAUUUCAUAGCCCUUUCAGUAGUUUUCUGUAUGAAGUAUGAGCAGCGUGGCCUCCAGACGUAACCUUUUAGAAAAAAAGACAGUGCUUUUAUUUUAUGGUGUAAAGUGCUUUUAGCUUCAGGGCUCUGAACGUGAAUGUGGUCAACAAACAGCUCUUGCGAGGGACUUUGCUACAGCCUCAGCCCCAGCGCCGGGGCUCUGCCUUCGUGAUGGGGAGGGGUACGGGGCCACCUCCGGCCGCCGGACCGGGCUCCCCGCCCCCCGGACACGCUCCCUCCGGGAAAGCCGCCCCGUUGCAGACCGCCCCAGGUAGGGGGGGCUCCGUGCCCCGCCGGCCCCGAGCCGAGCGCCGCCCCCCGCCGGGACCCCCCGCACACCUCGGCCCGGCCAGCCCCGGGGAAGUGGGGCCGGGAUGGCCCCCGCGCUGCCGGCCAGCCUGGCGGCGGGGUCAGCGCCACGGGGACCGCUCCCGCACUCCGGGCCGGGCCCGGGGGGCGGCCUCCGAGCUCGCCCCCGCACCGGUGGCAAAGGCAGGGCCGGGCGCCGAGCCCGGGGGGCAGAGCCCGGGGGCGGCCGGAGGCGAGAGUGCUUCAGGAGAGCUGUGGGAGCAGGGGCAGUGCACCCCCCCUGCACCCCAAGCGCUGCUCCUCCUGCAUCGUCCCCUCUGCUCCCCGCGCCCGGCGCAGCCACCACCACCGCACCUCUGGCACACGGAGCAUCUUCAGCCUCUCCUGUGCCUGUUACACGGCAGUGUCACUUCACUCGGUGGUACUAAAGAACCUAGUGAACGUGGUGGGUAAAAGCCGUUAGAAAUGCUUGUGUACUGACUGCUAACACCUAGAAAUGCUGGUAGAUGAGAAGGGCGGGUGAAAACAAACCCAGGCCAGCACUGAAGGUGACCCAGUGAUUAGGCUCUGAGGACUGACACAAACUUCUGUGUCACCUUCUACUCCUCCACAACCUUUCUCCGCCCAAGCCAUGAAGGAUGCCCCGCAGUCCUGCUGCAGCGGUUUGAGCUGCUGUCACCCCCAGCCAUUUACCAGCUGCUCUUUGGCCAUAGACUCUCAGCCCCAGAGCAAUGUCAGCUGGAGAAGUUGUGGCCCCCCAUCUCCGCUGCACGUGGGCAGACUCUGAGGUAUACGCUGAAACCAGGGCCAUGGUGGUUUUCAGGCUGCCUACGAGGAGAACCCUCAGAGAAGGGUCUGCCUCAUCAGCUGAGCAGCCAUCCCGCUUCAGUCUGUCCCCUGGGAACCAGAGCCCUGAGACACCAGCUAACGCCCUGGAGCAGCUGAGAGCAGAGGUGGGCACCCAUCCUGCUCUGCUGUCCCAGGGCAGGGGCAGGAACCUGCAGCAGCAGGGCAGAGUGCCCAGGGGAGAACAUUUACACCAUAGGUAUUUAACAUUUAAAUCUUGCCAAAAUGUAUCUGUCCCUUUCCUCUGUGCCUCAGCACUCUGCCUGGGAAACAGUGUGAUCCUCCCUCCAAGCAACAUGUGAGAUGCUUAGAGGUUGCUGUAGAAAGGAGAUAAAACUGCCUAAAAUUGAGAAGCGUGGCCUUCCUCUGUCUCACAGACAGGCACUCCGUGGCCCUCCCACACAGGAUCGGGACCCAAGGGCGCAAAGGAUCGUGACACAGUUUGUACCGCAUACUGCUGUCCCUGCUUAUCUGCUAAUUUAGUGACAGACUUGGCAGUGGGUGAGUUCAGCAACUUUGGUGGGCAAAUGUUCCUGCUUCGAAGCUCCAACUGUCAUUCAUUCAGAGCAGGAAUCUCACUUGCCAACUCCGUACAGAACAUUAGGACCAAAUACAAAUUCCAAAAUUCUGCCAGUUCUCUAGAGCUGGGCUGCAUUAUAUAACGGCAGAUCGCGCGGGGUGCUUUCCGACACUGACUUGAUAGUCUCAAUCAGGCGGAGGCAACGUGGGUGGAACUCUUAUCAUACCAGGCUGACUCUCUGUGAAUGAGCAGAGGACUUGCAUGUUCUAGAAAUAGUAUGUGCAUUAGUAUUCCCACAUGAGAAACUUGGGCACACUGCUUUUCCUUUUCUCUCCCCCCCCCUUCCCUUUUUAAUAAAGGCUCAAAAUAAACUCCAAUUCUGCAAGCGCUUACUAACAAGCACAGCACGCACAGCAGCGAGUCCGUGCAGGAUCACAAACAUCUGAGCGCCAGGUGACAGAAAGAUUUCGCUAUCGGCUUGCCCUAGGCAGGACCCAGAAUAAAACUCUGAACCUGGGGAGACGUUUUCCAUGGGUUUCAGCAAGGUCUGGGACUUCAGCCUGCCUCUGCUUGCACAGCACCUAGCACAAUGGAGCCCCGUACCUUGACUGGCCUUUCUGGGGAUGACUAUAAAAUAAAUGGCACAAAGCGCUCAGGAAACAGACUUUUGAAUGGCAAAAAGUCUCCUCUGAAGCAUACAAACAGUUUUGUUUGUGCAUGGGCAGACAGAAUAAGGCAACAGUAAAUGCCCAUAAAAUCUCAUUUUUAAUCAAAUCUUUGAUUUUUGCCAAACCAGUUUUAGUUUGUACUGCUCUUGUACUUCCUCAGCUAUUUGUCCUUUUGUAUGUUUAAUAUUUAGGUAUCUUUUUUAUAAGUAAACAUGUAACGUGCUCCUGGCAGUUUCUAUCCCAGGUUUCAAGGCAACAUGAUUUAAACUCCGUGCAUUUAAAACCUCCCAGAACUUGACCUAUAAUGCAAAUCCGUACAGUCUUAAUUAUAGUAGCACCAGCAGCCACCGCACGAGUGAAAUAGUUGAGCUUUCGUUACUAAAGAGGCACAGUAGUUAAGGUCUGUCAGUGCUCCUGUUACAAUCCCCAUCUUGAAGAGGUUAUAACUUGGGCUGUGUAAAUUUGAUUGAGCUGAAACUUGGGACUCAGACUGUCAGUCCAUAUAGGGAAUUAUCUUAUGAAUAAUUGGCUAACCCAUUGCUUGAUUCACAGACCUUUAUAAAAUGAUUUUUAAUGGGUUUUAAUGUUUUUUUCUUUUACUGACAUCUAGGGUAUGAAUUUGGUACUUCUAGCUCUUCUGAAGCUCCAUACUGAACAGCAUAUAUAUAUAGGUACCCAAGUUAAAGCCACAGCUACCCAGAGAGUUCCUGGGGCACACGUGUCCCACUUGCCCACCUAUGUGUACCCAUACACCGAUAAGAGACUGUGAACAAGAAAUGGCACUUAAGUCUAUCUCAAAAGAGAGUCCUAAAUGUGUAAGAUAAAGAGGGCAUAAAGGAAUCGAACAGGAGGGAACUAAAGCUCAUAAAAUGUGUUUGCUUUGUACAUCAGCUGCAUCGCGAGAUGCUGCUGGUCACACACCUCAUCACGCUGGGAAUGGAAAAUGCUCACUGAACCCAUGAUCCAAAAUACAGCUCUGGCACGUUACAGCACAGUGUAUAGGUCAACUCCAUUACCUAUAGAUGCAGCAAGGAUAGCUAGGGACAGGAAAACAUCUGGCAGGCCGUUGGUCACUAUCAUCUUUGCUAACAGUUUCUUAUAAUCUUUUCAUCUUCCUGGGCUUUAUCUUCCCCCAAAAAACAUGUGGAAGUGGGUCUCACAUGUGCAUUGGCAUCACUUUAAAAGGGAUGAGCCAUGCAACUUUGAACAUUGAGGGUAAGCUUAAGUAUCACUUUGUGUUACAAAGGAUUUGACUGACAAUUGCUCUCUAUAACACUUUUCUCUAGCUUUAAACUUCUCAGAGGCGGUGUUUAUCACUUCAAAUCACAGUAAGCUGAAGUGUGCAUGGUUGGUUAAGAUGCAGACUUGCAGUUUUCCUUGACCCUGACAGAAAAAUACAAGCCCAGGGCUAGAAAGAUGAGCCACAGGCUGUGAUCACACAGGUUGCUCUCAUGGAGCCAGACCCCACAAAGUUUCCAUCCCCACCUCACCAAAUGGGUACAGAGCAGGGACACCAUGCUACAUGCCCGAACUCAUGAGCAUCAUCUCCAUUGGGUUCAGGAAAUGUUUUGACCAAGCCAGGCUGCAGCAUUGGGCUCUCUUACUGCAGGGUUAUUGUGCACAAGUCACAGUGAAGCAAAGCGCGCUGAGAAGCCAGGCUCCUCAGCAAGAUAUUCCACACACCCAAAUCCCCCGUUCAUCAAGGCUGCUCUAUUUGGCCUCACAGAAACUGAUGAUGGCACAAGCACAGAGAAGUCAGUCCUUUUGAGUCACUGCUGAGAUCCCAAGUAAUUUACCUAAGCAGGUCACUACCUUCAAGCCUAUGAGCUUGAAGGAAAACAGGUCAUCGACACAAAACAUCUUUUUGAUUCAUUUUCUGACUCUAGCUCCUAAGUUUGGGGAGAUGCCCAGCUAGCAUGAGGUGAAGAAUUACAGCCAAUUCAGGCCACAGGGAGAUAGCGCCCAGCAGCACAGAGGCAGCUGAACUCGGAAGGGAUAAGCAAGUCACAUGGAUAGCAAAGGCUAAGCGAGGCUCCCAGCCCCGCAGAGGCAGACUCUUGGGGAGUUUCAAACCAAGAACAAAUACCGAGGUUUAAACUAGUCACAUGUCCAAGGACGGCACACAGUCACACUUCAUCUCCAAAGUAUCUGCUCAUCAGUGAAGAAGGGCAGGAUUGCUGGACACACUUAGUCUGAUCCUGACCAACUAAAAUCUGCGGGUUGACUACUGAUCUUUUAGCACAGCAGUUGUUUAUGAACAAGAUCUUCUCAGGAUCAUAAGGAGAAGCUUUGCACACUUCUGUGCAGGAUUAGAUCCAAGGAGGUCAAACCCUCCCUAUGAGGAAAUCUGGAAAGUUCUACUCUGUAUGUGGCAGGUGGGAAAAGGAGGAAUUGCAGACAUUUUGUCUUGAAGAAUAAAUCCAGCUAGAGCUCAAAUCAAUUUUAAACAGAAGUAGAAUAACAGAAAUAAUUUGCUAACCUGAGAAACCAAAUAUCAGCAAUCAAAAAAAAUCAGUUGAGAAAUUUCCAUUGAGAAAUUAGUUUUGCUGCACAGGAUGGGGAAAGAUAUAGCUGUUUUCUUGUAUGCUGCUGAACACAGUCCUUUCUUCUUCCUAGCACACUUGGUGUGAGGGACAGUAGAGAAGGACAGUGCAAUAAAAAAGGAUUUUCCUCCUCUAACCCUGCUCGAUAUAUCCCCUACCAGAGGAAUCUACUUGGCCUUGGGUACUGCAAAAUUCUUAAGCACAUAUUUGUCUUUGGGCACAUCAGCUGUACUUACAUGCUUAAAGUAAGCGUGUACUCAAGCAUGCUGUUAGAUUGGCGCCUUAACAUCUUCUGUAAAUAAUGUCUAUUACAUUGCUUUUUAAAGCUUCAACUUUUAGUCACUGAGGAUGCACUGAACUGAAAUUUAACAUACACAAUCAUAAUUCUCUAUAUUCGUUUUAUAUUACUAUUUCAGGUGACAUUUCGGUUUAGCUUUAGCAAAGAAGAAAUGCACACGCUUUGCAGAACAUAGCGUAGCUUGUGUGAUGAUCUAGAUGAAAAAGAAUUAAUUGUUGAGAUAGCAGAGAUCUUUCUCUGCAUUUAAAAGUAAGGAAAGCUUUACCAUGGGCUUUCUUCUUUGCCAUAUUUGUUCCAUGCAUUUAUUUCAGCUUAAUUGUUAGAAUGCUUACAAUAAUAUUUUAAUGCAACUCUCUGUAGUCAGAAGAAUGUAUUAUCAUAUAGCCCAAAGCUGCACGGAAGGACACAGUGCUGAGGGGCAGCAGGAGAGGUGGUGAAUAACCUGUGAUAAGAGCCCACUUCUUUGAGCUGUCUGGAUAGUUUUGCCACCAUUUGUUAGUGUCAGCACAAAUAAUUUUUAUGGUACAGUAUGAAUUCUGACUGCAGUGAAAAGAACGGUUUCUACCACCAGUAUGAAUAAGAUUUCAUUCAAUUAAAAUAACGUGCAAGUACAUUGUAUAGUAUUACAUAGAAAGCUGAUGUGCAUUAAGUAUGAAUGCUGGAGUUGGGGGGAGUUAUUGUGCUAAUGCUAUUGUUCAGUGAGCAACUAUUCCCCAGCAUGUAAAAAAAAAAAAAUAAGUAAGGGAAAUUAAAUACAGAAAUCAGAAACACGUACAAUGUUUGAUAUUAUCAUACUGAAAUUAAUGUAUUCACAAUUUAGACUUUAAUUUGCCCUAUUGUAUUAAGUUUCACAGCAUCUGAGCACCUAGAGAGAGAGAGAAAUAGAAGUAAACACAUGGAGAGAGAGAUCCAUAGCCUAUCUGUGCUGAAAUACACCACCCUCAGAGGCUGCAGCGAUAGGCGCUGUGGAUAAACUCUGGGGAAACACAGGCCAUGUCAUAGCACCAGCCUGAAAGUGCUGCUCCCCACCAGCAGCAGGGAGAAGUUUGGUCUAGAUGUGGCUGGAGCGGUGUGGUCUGCUGCGACCCUCUGCUCCUGAACAGCUUUGGAGGGCUCCUCAGCAUGGGGGUGAGGCGAGCUACAGCCCCCCAGUACCCCUGGUUCACGCUACCCAGAACUGAGGGUGUCUGAAGGUGGAGGGAUGUAUGGGGACGCAGCCAUGGCAGUUCCUAGGAGGAAGGCGAAAGUGUCUCGGAACUGAGGUGUAUCUCAGACAGCCGUUGUACUCGGAGCCAAUAAAAAUGAAACUAUUCUCUACUGAGACCUAAUUAGCUUUUAUAUUCAAAGCCGUACUGCACAUUUGUACAUUGCUUAUGAGCAGGACUAAAAAAUAUAUGUACCAUGACACUAUACUUUUUAAGUGUCUAUUGAAUGCUUUUCCCAUUCUCCAAGGAUUGCCUUCUUCUUAGAUGUAUACAUUCAGCGAAUACGACGAGGCUAAUUAUUUUUCCCUGAAAUGAUCAGUGCUUGUCUCUAGCAGUUUGCACAGAAGCAUGGACCUCACAUCUUCAGCCUGGGAACUUAAAAAAAAACACAAACCAACAACAAACAAAAAACACACACAAAAAAAACCCCAACCAAAAACCGACCAAAAAAGCACAACUGCCUUCGAAUCCUAAGACAAAAAACUGUUCGGUAAACAAAUUUCCUGCCACAGGCUUUACAAGGCUUACUCUUCUAUCAGAGCCCCCGUGCACGUCUGAGCCUUUUUGCUAUUUUUUUACAGGGGUUAUAUAUUUUUUCUGUUACCUUUCCUGCCUGUAAAGCAAUCACGGAGAACGGCGGGAGGCACCAUCAAUAUGCAAAUUGCUGCCAGAUAACUGGUUUCGCUGGUUCCGCCUUGGGAAGCGGCCCCGCCGCCGCGGGGGGGAUCCGCGGGGCCCGGCCGCCCCUCCGCGCCCCUCCGCUGCCCCCUGCGCGGCUCAGCCCCGGCGGGGCCCCCGGCGCAGGGCUCGGCAGAGGGCAGGCACCGAGCAACGCGCUCCUUUGAUUGCCGCUAAUUCUCCCAAGUCGCGCCUGCCUUCCCGCUCGCUCCCACGGCCUGGGGGGCUUUUCUCCUUCUGAAUCUCUUUGGCAAGGGGGACGCGAGCCCCCGUCCCUCGGCCUGGGCGGCACUGGCAGCUUGCUGCCGCCUCGCCCUCCGCGCACGGGCAAGGUUUCUGCGCCUCCCCCGUCUGCUCACCUGCGGGGUGCUCCCAGGCGAGGAGGGGGAGCAGACUGGCUCACCCUGAGCUCGGGAAAACCUGGGCACGCUCCCGGACAGCUCUGCAGUCUGAAAUCCAUGCCAAGGCCCUCCCUUUUCUAACGCAGCGUUUGGGGGGUUAAAAGGAACCGCUGGUUUCCAAAUUAAAAUGCAAGUAUAAUUCACAGGUAAACGUUUGCAAAAGUACACGAGACCAUUUUAAAAAUCACAAAGAGAAACUGUGAUCUGGGUUUGCUCUGCUGGUAAAUUCAAAGCAGCGCUUAUUACACUAACCUUUUGCAAGGCAUCCCUCAAAACCAUGGACUGCGCAUUUGGGCAUUUAAAAAAACCCCAAAAAACAACCAACCAAAAAAACCAAACAGCCCAAAGUAAACAAUACAGCUAAUUUGUAAGCAUUCAGAUGUGCAGUAAGUUUAACACAAACAUUCCUGUCGGUAUGGCGGUGGCCCCAUAUAACACAAUAAGAUACAAUUCAGACCUGUGACGGUCUAUUGCAUGCAUAAUAUGCGUUUUUAAAAUUGCCUGGAAACGUAUUCAUACGGUGAAAUCUAAUAGUUCAGGUGGAGCUUUUACUCUUGAUCAAAUAAUAAAAAUUGUUAGAGACCACUCUGUCAUCUCAUUGCUUACCAGCUUCCACGAGGACUGUUUUACGUUCCCAUUUAAAUAGGACAGGAGAGCAAGAAGGAAAACAUAAACCACAGAAGAGUUACUACAGACAUUAACUUUUAAGCCAGAAAAGCAAGAGAGCUGAGAAAGAAAGCAGGGGAAUUGUCUUCAUCGCUCUGCACCCAUGGAGGUUUCCUACAGCUGAGGCCUGGGGACGGCAGAUCCCAUUAGGGCAAGGUUGCGCUCAUCAAGCCCCAGGAGCUGCCUUGGGCGAGGUGUCACCAAAAUACCUUCUUUUUGUGCAUUUCUGCCUGCCAGGGCAGGGGAUUAGUGUGGACAGACAGAGAGAGCCCGUGGACAGAUGAGACUCCCUGUGGGACGGAGUGGGUGGCGAUGGCCUUGUCCACGGAGAAGGAACCUGAAGUGCAGACUAGUAAUAGUAAUGGUGAUUACUAUUAAAGCGUGGAGCUUUUCAUUACUGAAAACUUCAAAUAACCCUCCUGAACUAUAUUUGAGAUGGGCUUUUUUUCAUGUUAACUCCAGGUUUGAUUGCUGGAAAAGGUUGACUGCUAGAAAAGGAAAAGCAGUGCAGUGCACAGCAGUGAGGAAUCGAAGCCCUUCUUUACCAGAACCCCUGCCAUAUACGUACUGUCACUCACCUUCCAGACACUCAGUACAACCAUUCAAUCUAUUGAAUCAAGAGACUGUUUGAUCUUAUCUGCAUCUGUGAGCUGACUGUCAACCUGCUUAGGCUGCAUAUUAAAUCAUCUAUAGUAGCUGUAUCAAGCUGGGAUGAUCUGUUAAUUCUAAAUUUAUUAACCCUUAGAGUGCAGUCAUCAUGUUUAAUCUAGUGUAGCCAGCAUUUAUUUUACAAGACUAAAUCCUUCUUUAAGAUAUGGCUGUACUGUAGGUUAAAGAAUCAGUAAUGUGGAGGAGAGGGUGACGGGGAAGAGCUCACUUUGAUCUCUGAAAGCCAGCUGACAGCAUCGCUGCUCCAAACAUAUAAGUUGCAUGCUUGUGGCACGCUCGUGCAUCCAGUGUGCGGUGGUGGGGGUGCACACAUGUAUGCACCCAGUAACACUUCCUUGCAGGCUUUUGCCCGAGAUGAGAAAGGAGAGGCCUCGAGCAAUGCCCGAGCCUCGUGUCUCCACAAGAACUUAAAAAUCAAAGUGCCAGCAUGCCACCACAACACAAGUUGAGGGUGGCUGCAGGUAGAGACCUGCAAAGGCCCACCAACAAACCUCUCCUCCAGGUCAGCUCCCCGCUUCUUGGUCUGUAACUGCUGUCCGAAUCAAUUAACAAACGCCCUCAGAGCGCUGAGGACCACAGCCGCUGCAGGACUCGCAAGUCAAGUGCUGCUGUCUGCCUAGGUACACAUGCACCCCCACUCAGACGCAUAUAUGUAUAGAAAUGAUUUUGUGUAGAUACAUACAUACACAUCAAUAUGUUAAUCUGUUCGUUACACACACACAUCUCUCCCUGCCCCUCUCUCCUGUUAUCUAUUAUCCUUGCACAUUGCCGAUGGUUAUCAACAUAUUCACAGCUUUUAUUUCAGUUGCAAACUGCUAGGCAUGCUUCCUUUUUUGGUAAUCACGUGCCUGGUAUCUCUCUAAUGUAGCCUAAUAACAAUUUUAGCAUUCAGAUGAAGCGAUUUCAUUCUGUGACUGCCUUUUCUAUUAGAUUUGAUUCUGAGAAGCCCCAGUGGGUGCCUCGGAGGCAGAGAUCUAUCUGUGAGGCUGCAACCGAUUCAAUAGCAGCCUGAGCUAACCUUGACCUUUCCCUAGACCCUGCUCCAUCUGGUGCCAGCCUGGUCCCCCCCUUCUCCUCCUCCUUGCUUCGCAGUCAGCAUUGAUCAAGGCGGAAUCGAGCGUCUCUCUCCCUCCGAGGGCUGGGCAGUCGCGGAAAGGACGGCACAUUUCAAUAUAUGGAAAUGAUCGAGCCUCUUAUGCAAUCAUAAACCUACACAGAGCCUCGUGAUUUGAUAUUUCAUUCACCUCCAAAGAUUCUCCCCCUCCCUCCCGCCAGCAGGGAUUUAUAAACUAUAAGACAACGGCUUUCCCCAACACCUGGAAAUUAUAAAGCUUGCUGUUUAUUGGGAAUGAAAGCCUGGCGAUUGCAGCCGAUGUACUUUGAGGUUUAUUUAUUUAUUUAUUUGCCGCUCGCCCGGCGCGCUCGGGGGUUUGGUAUUUUUUUUCCCCAGGGUGGGUGCCCCCUGCCCCGUUCGGGCGGCGGCCCCGGCCCCGCGGAGGGCCCCGCCGGUGCCGCAGGCGCAGCGGCUGCAGCCUGCUCCGGCCCCGCCGGCCCGGGGCAGCGGCUCCCGCGGGGCCGGGCCGCGUCCCGCUCCGCUCCGAGCGGGGACGGGGCGGCUCGGGCGCGUUUCAAUGGCUGGAAACGAGCAGCGGCUCCGGCAAUGAAUCGGCGCCGGCCGCUUCGUCACCUUCCCAGCUCUGCUUCGGUUUCUUCUCUGCUCCCCCGCGCUGGCGCUCGGCUCCCCGCUCCCCCCGGCCACGCACCACGGGCUCUGCCCCCCCCCCCCGCGGCCCUCGGCUCCCCGCAGGCGGACGGCCGAGCUGGGGGGUGCUGGGGGGCCGACAGGGGUGCGGAGCCGCUCGGCGCCCGGGGGCUGUGCCCGCACAGAGCGCAGCGUGGCUCCCAGCCGCCGCGCCGCCCUCGCUGCUACGACGUCCGCUUCCAUCGACAAGCAAUUUUAUUUUUCUCCCGAGGAAUUCUGACAUAACCACUUUUUUUUUUUUUUCCCACCGCAUACCAGCCUCGAGAUUAUAUAACAGAUUAUGUAAAAUUAUAAUUACGAGAUAAUAUAUGCAGGCUCUAAUUAUUAUAUAGUUUCCUGUGUAUCUAUAGGAACACGGCGCAUAUGUUCAGAGUCGGUUCUGCAAUAUUUGCAUAGCCAACAUUUCUGGCUGUAGACGUGGUGUAGAAAAGGAAUGGAUAAAUAGUUGACGGCACACAUGUAUAAGGGAGAUAUAUUACUUAACGGGAAAAAGUACCUGGAAAUACAUUUCUCUCUGUUUUGAGGAAUUUGGUUUGCUUUAUCUCCACGGGUAGUAAAAAAUAAUAGGAAGAAACUGUGAAUUACACUGAAAAAAUAGAUAUAUUCAAUUUGUCAGUUUAAUAUUACACUUCCUUCCUGCAAUGCUACAAAGAUUUAGAACAUUUCCAAAACUUUCAGCUCUAAUCUGUGUCUUGGGGUUUGUUUGGAGGACCUGCCACCACACGCCGGCUACAAAUGAGUGUCAAUUAAUAACAAAACCCACUCUUCCUUAUUUCUGCACUCACGUAAUUUAACAGGUUUUGAUAAAACCACGGAUGCAAUGGUGAGAAUUUUCCAAUGCAUGUAGUAUUAACAGUUUUCAUUCUAAAGCACCAAAACUUCCUGAAAUAGAACUGCUGAAUAUUUCUUUGCUUUUCCCAAUGGCCAUCUACACGUAGUUAUACACUUGAAAUAUAAAGAAUAUUCAUCUUAAAAAGGGGGGUUUGUUUUACCAGGAACCUAGCUGAUGGAAACAAUCUCAAAUCUAGGCAGCUGAAGUAAGUACACUGUCUUAUUUGUGGCCUCCAAAAUUAGAAAUAAUUUGAAAGAAGAAGUAGGAGAGUUUUUAGCUAGUGCUUUCCACCACGUAAGAAGUAACUGGAAAUCAUUCACCCUUAUAACGCAACAGGAUUCAUAAACUCUUUGCUUUCUGAGCUACCUGAGCAACGACGUAACCUCUGCAGAAGUGCCUAAGCCCCCUUUGUUGUUGAAAAACAUAUUGUACUUAUUAGUAAAAUGUGAAAUGGCUUAAAAAACAAUUUGAGCUAUGAAUUGCCAUCUGCUCAAUGGGGGGAAACAGAAAGGAACUGAAUAUAUUUUCUCACCUUUUUUUAUAGCAACAUAAACAAUGCUCCAGAACACUAUAAACUUCUAGCUGUACAAAAGGCGUUGGUACAGUUCGUCAUGCUUCAGGGAUUAAAAGUUUGAUCCUGCUUCCCACAUGAUACUCUGGAAACUGUCCCUGAUAGGGAGCUAGCCUGAGAUGCAUGCAUGCCUGGAGCCGUCAAAAUAAGGGUAACGCAGCAUAUACAACUUGUUCUGGUUCUCCGCGUGGGAGGGUAAGAGGGAAGAGUUUAUCUUACCCAGCUUUUAUGUAGGGCUUUGUAUUGCUAGUGUCCAUCGCAAAAGAAAUUCAUCUUUCUGCUUUCCCCGUCCCUUUUUGCAGAGAAAACCGGAGGAACCAAACAGGACUGAUUCCUCUGGUAUCAAGCUUUGCCAGUGCUGAAAGCACAUUCCUCCAGUGCCUGCACACUCGGUGACCUCGCCGGGUGCUGCAGGGGCAAGGCUCUGAAAUGGGCUGGGAGCGCAGGGAGGCCUCUGCCUGUCCCAGGAAGGCCACACAGCAGCGCAGUGCCUGCCCAGGUCUACGCCAGGAGCAAGUUUCCCUGGGAAUCCAUCCAUACUGGCACCUGCCGCUCCCCAAGACUCAGCUCACAGCGCUAACGCUCUAACGGAAAGAACAAAACAUAUUUUUGUUUUGGUUUUUUGUUUUCCUUUCUGUGUAGCUGGAGUUAUUUCUUUGCUCUCUUUCAGCUUUACACACCUGGGAGCCCAGACUUUUUUUAACCUGUUUGUUUCGUUUCUUGCUUAACAGCAGCUCAGCUAGCCUGCCCUGAACACUCUGCUCCUACCAGCUACGGAUCGGAGGGGAGAGCAUUUCUGGAGCGCAGGGAGCCAUCAAACCAAAUGGCCAGGUUCAGGCACGUGGAGGACGUGAACUGGAAGACCUUGGGUUGGAGUGAGUUUUGCAAGGGGCGUGAGGACAGCAGAGCUGUGAACUGUUAUGGCUCCAUCCCACAGGACAAGCACAUGUUAGACAGUAAUCCUGCAGUGCAGAAAUUGUUUUUGUUUGCCUGCCUAGUGCCCAAUGCUUUCUCCUCUCUGAAAGACCAACUCGUCAAAAGCAUCAUUUAAAAAUAUUAACAAUACGAGGAGCAGCUUUUCUGCUCCCAUGGAACUUGGCAGGAGUAUAAAUAUGCAGUAAGGGAAGAGGGGAAUCGAAAACUUAAUAAGAAAUGGAAAUACAAUGGCAUACAAGUAGCCUGCACCCCUCACAUUUUAAUUUCUACCAAUGUCCCUAGCAGGGCAGGGCACAGCAAACUGCCUCAAGAUUUAUAUGCAAAGCGUGUGAGCUCAUUGCAAUAGCUGUAUCCUCGCGCACGCCUAGGUGUUCUACACCUCACAUACAGAUCACCCUGUAGUAUUAAGAUUCAAAUCGCCUGUCCUCUGUCGCUAAUAAAAAUGAAAUAUAUUAGGGGAAGUUUGAAUACAGUGGCUUGACAGAGCAUGUCAUGUCUCACACAUGAAAAAACGUUGUGAGUGUGUGAUCAAAAAGUAGCUGCCCAUUUUUGUGGCAUAAGAUUUUCCUGUUUCAAAAGGCAAAAUGUGUGCUUUGAGACAAGGUAAGCCUGAACCCUUAAACUGCUACGGCCCCCAAGAGUGCAGCGUGAGGCCAACUCAGAACUCCCUGCUACGCUGAGAAAAAACAUACAUUUUUAUAAGACUCCCAGAUUUUCUUUUUGUUUUCCUUUUCAAGUGUGCAGAACAUAAGCAAAGCAUGAGGACCUGUGCUGUACUUCGAGUGGUCCUUCUGUGACUAAGAAGUUACCGCAGCAGAACACCACCCUACGGUGGAAGCUGCCAAUAUCAUCAUAUUAAGGGUUUGUCAGUGUUUCCAUUCUAAGCCUGAGCCAUUCUAGCCUAAGGGCUAGACCCUACCAAGGCUUUCUUGAAAACAGCAUGUCAGCCAGGUAGAUAAGCACAUCUCCUGAGAGCUGACAGGGCUGAUGGCUUUUUCAGCCUGUCCUGGGCUUGGUUUUUCAGGAAAGCAAGCAGCCAGCCAGACUUUGGGAUGGAAAGCGUUUGGGACAGUGCCUCUGUGUUACAAAGCAGCCCAGGACAGACAUGCGAAAAGCAGUAUGCCACUCUAAGUGAGAUGCAAAUAAAGGAGAGGACUGUCAUUAAGGAAACACCCAACAGGUUAUUUUGUUCUGCAGAAAUGGCUUUUCCAGUUUCCAGCUCCUCACCAGUGCUCACUCUCUGUUGGAAACUGCACCCCUCCCCUAACUGAAGGGAUAGAACUGAUUCACAAAGGUGUAUUACAGCUCUAGGUGCUGGAGUCAGAAACAUUUGUAAAGCCUGCUCGGUGUGGAUUCAUGCAACAGGCAGCGACUGCCCAAAAAUUGCCUCUGCUUCUAGGAAGGAUGCUUUCAGAAGCUGCCAAGAGCCCAAUCCCAAGUAGCCUCUGGGAAAAGCCCCAUGGAAGUGCAUCAAAUAUGCCUCCAAAUCCACCUCAACAGGUAGCCCUGAUGCUGGUUUCUGUGAAACAGCACAGACUCUGGGGUGCCCUCUUCCUCCUGAGCUUGUCCUUCCUGAGAUUGGGCUGGUGGCAGGGGAAGAUAGAAGAGGAAAACUUAAUGUGCCACUGCUUGUGCCAUACCUGUUCUGUAGAUAGUGUGAGGACUUUGUUCCUAGGGUCUGUCCGUGUGGUGCCAUUCCUGAGCAAUAAAAGCUCACCCACAAGGUAUUUUAAAGCAAACACUUGGUCUUAUGAAUUCCUUAAUACUCCUGUAGCUAGACAACAAUACCACAAAUAGUAAACACUCUAAAAAUACCCACUCAGUGUAAAGACCCCAAGUUCAUGUACCAGCUCCUUCGGCCAGCAGGAGACAGGACCCCACAGAGGUUAUGUGUUCAUCUCAUGGAGGAGUGACUUCUUGUGUCACUCCUCAACAAUUCCCCAUGGCAAGAACACCAGCACAGUUUCCCAAAGAAGAGGUGUUUCAGUGACCCUUGAACUUGGUGGAAAGGUGAACUGGCCGCCAGUGCGGUCUCUUAGAAAGUAAAUGGAAGUGUGUCCAUGGGUGUAUGUGCACUGACACAUGUGUGCAUGGGGGUGUGGGUCAGGCAUCAACUAUUCUAAAAAAAUUGUGCUCUACACUGUACUGUUUUCUUAAAUCUUUUUGUGUUCUCUGCACAGAUUGUGUCCCUGCCUUCAUCUAAUUUAAAAAAGCAGGGCCACUGAAACAGCCUCAAGAGCCAAAUACUAUGUCUGAUUCAUCAGAGCACAUCAUGCACAAGAGCAAUAGCUGAUUUCAUAAGAUACCUGGGGGAAAAAAGAAAAAAAAAGUCUUUAUCGUUUAAGAUCAGAAUUUGCUUACCAGGGUUGUUAUUUAAGCUGAGAAAUACAGGCAGAAAUCUGUAAAUCUGACUUUAAAUUACUUUGUUCUGAUCUGUAUUAUUGUUCUUGCAGUUCUCUCUUUUUAGGUGACUUUACGGUAGGCAGGCUCGAGAAAACACAGGACCAGAUACUCCGUGGAGAUUUGCAUCCUAAGCUCUGAAUUCCCCAAUUUGGAUUUUGUUGGUUCAAACACAGAUGCCCCUUUUUUACUUUUGAAACUGUUUAUUGUGUGAAUGUAAAAUAAUUACAGAAACCAGGUGUAUAUUGUACUUAUGGAAGACUUACGUUACCUUAAAGAAAAAGAGCACUGUGUGGAGCUCUUUUUAUUUUUUUUAAACAUGGUACAUUCAAUUAAUUCACGCCAUUUUAUAUAAUUUUACCUUUAUACCUUCCACCUAAAAUGAAAGCAAUAUCAAUUCAUAACCUCCUUCUAGUUCAAAUGAUACAGAUAAAAAUUAGGUCUCUUACUCUUUUUAAAAUUAAGUGUAUAUUCCACUAAAGGUACAGGUCUUUUUUCAUGAAAGCAAGUGCUAUUUACCAUGUGUGGCUAUUUCAGUGAGCUAAAUAUUUAUUGAAAACUCAAAGCAUUCACUGGCCUCAUUUUCUCUAGUUGUUGCUUUCAGAUUAAUAAACCUGUUUCCUACUUAAAAUGAAAAAAGAAUUCAGAAAUGUUUAGCAUGAAGUUGAAAAAGUAGCAAGAAAACGACUAACAGAUACCAGCACAUUGCAUAUUUAUUUUGUCCUGUCAAUUAUUUUUAAAGAAUUCCCUGCUUAUGGAGGAAGAUUUUUAAAAGACCUGGACUAUCAAAUAAAGAUGUACACAAACA